GCGAGUGGGCGGGCUCAGCUCAUGUGUUUCCGGAACUAAAGGGCACAAACUCUUCAAACACACGUGUGGAAGAAAACUGGCGCUGGUAGCUCUCCGCACUCUUCUGAUUCUCACCAAACGCAGUGUUUUAGUAAGAUUGUGGUCUACCAAGAAGACUUUUGAAGCUUUUAUUGGCAGGCAACCGCGAUUCAGCCAUAAAGCCUUUGUACCUCAGUCUUAUUAUUUGGUUCUGAUG